AACGAACGCUGGCGGCAGGCUUAACACAUGCAAGUCGAACGCCCCGCAAGGGGAGUGGCAGACGGGUGAGUAACGCGUGGGAAUCUACCUAGUUCUACGGAACAACAGUUGGAAACGACUGCUAAUACCGUAUACGCCCUACGGGGGAAAGAUUUAUCGGAAUUAGAUGAGCCCGCGUAAGAUUAGCUAGUUGGUGGGGUAAUGGCCUACCAAGGCGACGAUCUUUAGCUGGUCUGAGAGGAUGAUCAGCCACACUGGGACUGAGACACGGCCCAGACUCCUACGGGAGGCAGCAGUGGGGAAUAUUGGACAAGGGGCGCAAGCCUGAUCCAGCCAUGCCGCGUGAGUGAUGAAGGCCUUAGGGUUGUAAAGCUCUUUCACCGAUGAAGAUAAUGACGGUAGUCGGAGAAGAAGCCCCGGCUAACUUCGUGCCAGCCGCCGCCGUAACAC
rnacentral:rRNA from 1 species